rnacentral:rRNA from 1 species
AGAGAUGUGUGAUGACGCAUAUCAAUAAGCGGAGGAAAAGAAACUAACAAGGAUUCCCUUAGUAACGGCGAGUGAAGCGGGAAGAGCUCAAAUUUGAAAUCUUCAAGGUUCUACCUUGACGAAUUGUAGUUUAUAGAAGUGUUUUCUGUUAGUAGAGUGGCAAAAGUUCUUUGGAAUAGGACAUCAUAGAGGGUGAGAAUCCCGUAUUUGGUCAUUCUUUCUAGCUUUGUGAUACACUUUCAACGAGUCGGAUUGUUUGGGAAUGCAGUCCAAAAUGGGUGGUAAAUUUCAUCUAAAGCUAAAUAUUGGCGAGAGACCGAUAGCGAACAAGUACCGUGAGGGAAAGAUGAAAAGAACUUUGAAAAGAGAGUUAAACAGUACGUGAAAUUGUCAAAAGGGAAGCGUUUGACACCAGUGUUGUUUUUCCGAAAAUCAAUUACGAAUGUUUUAUUUUUGAGAAGUUAUGACUCAUCGGCUUGCUUCUCUCUUUAUGAAACUUUCUUAAUGCACUUUUCGGUUAACAAGUCAACAUCAAUUUCUUUUGUUGUAAAAGGGUAUGAGGAAGGUGGCUUUCUUUUCGGAGAAAGUGUUUAUAGCCUUGUACCUCUGCAAUCGGAGAGAUUGAGGUCUGCAGCGUAGAUCCUUCGGGGUUAGAUACAUUUGUGCUAAGUUAUAGCUUUUCAUAGACAACUUGUCGACUAUGUUUAGUCUUGUAGCUUACUCGCUUAUGCUAUUUUACCUACGCUUAGGAUGUUGAUCUGUAGUGCGUGCGC